UCUAAACAUACAUUAUUUCUGUGAUUCUCGUCAUGUUGAAAUGAUUGUAUAAAUUAGUAUUUGUAAGUUAUACUGUAUGUAGUGUGAAAUUUGCGUUUAGUCUCCACCUAAAUGACACAGGAGUUUGUGAAUUCCUACAGUAAGUUGAUUUUUUUAAAAACACAAUGCUGUUAUGAUUAUUUUCCUAAUGCACAGAAUAUUUCCCAACGAUAAAUUUGCUAUUUUUCAAUUAUUCCAUCCAAGCAUAACAAAGUAUUAGUUUAGGCGUAAUGUUUCAACAUACGUUUCAAUUAUUCGAUACCAAUGGUUAUUCUGAAUAGAUCUGUGUCCCAGGCUAAGUUGUCAUAGAUAGCAGUGGAAGUUGUUUUUUGGUAUCGUAGUCUUUUGUUGUAUCAAAUCGUUUAUAUGUUUGACUUUCCAGACUGUUGGUUUCAAAUAAUCCAGAACCUAGAAACGCAUGUCGUACGUACGAAUUUGUUUUUAUACAUGUUGUAUAUAAAGGUUCCUUGAUGAUCAACUCUUUUAAUAGAAUUUUCAGUGAAUACGCACAUUAUUUACACAAUUAGAGGUUUUGAAUGAGUGCGGAAAGUUUAAUACCCUAAACGUGCUAAAAUGUACCGCCUCACUUAAUAUUAUGUUUUAAAUUGCUAUCAAUACUGUUUAAUAUUUACUUCUUUUCGUCUAAUUAUUUCAUAGUAACGACGAAAAUUGGGAACUGAUAUGCUGUCAAAACUACAAACUACAUCCCAACGCACAAG
rnacentral:lncRNA from 1 species